rnacentral:rRNA from 1 species
AUUGAACGCUGGCGGAAUGCUUUACACAUGCAAGUCGAACGAUGAACCUUAGCUUGCUAAGGGGAUUAGUGGCGAACGGGUGAGUAAUGUAUCGGAACGUAUCCAAUAAUGGGGGAUGACUAGUCGAAAGAUUAGCUAAUACCGCAUACGUCCUACGGGAGAAAGCUAGGGACCUUCGGGCCUGGCGUUAAUGGAGCGGCCGAUAUCUGAUUAGCUAGUUGGUGGGGUAAAGGCUCACCAAGGCGACGACCAGUAGCUGGUCUGAGAGGACGACCAGCCACACUGGAACUGAGACACGGUCCAGACUCCUACGGGAGGCAGCAGUGGGGAAUUUUGGACAAUGGGCGAAAGCCUGAUCCAGCCAUUCCGCGUGAGUGAAGAAGGCCUUCGGGUUGUAAAGCUCUUUCGCAAGGGAAGAAAACUUAAGCUCUAACAUAGCUUGAGGUUGACGGUACCUUGAUAAGAAGCACCGGCUAACUACGUGCCAGCAGCCGCCGUAA